AAUGAGAUGCCUGACUUAAAGGGUUAUUUUGAUAGAAUAAAUCAUGUAAUUUAUAUUACUCUCAUUG
rnacentral:tRNA from 1 species